rnacentral:rRNA from 1 species
AAUUGCAGGAGAGAUACACCUGUUCCCAUGUCGAACUCAGAAGUUAAGUCGCAUUACGCCGGAAGUAGUGGGGGUUUGCUCCCUGUGAGAUAAGGUAGGUGCCAAGU